rnacentral:rRNA from 1 species
GCAAUCAUGAAAGAGUCUUUGACUCGCUAAUUGAUGGGGAUAAGUCGUAUUAGCUAGUUGGUAAGGUAAUGGCUUACCAAGGCCAUGAUGCGUAGCCAGUCUGAGAGGAUGAAUGGCCACAAGGGAACUGAGACACGGUCCCUACUCCUUUUUGGGAGGCAGCAGUGAGGAAUAUUCCGCAAUGGGCGAAAGCCUGACGGAGCGAUACUACGUGAAGGAAGAAGGUCUAAGGAUUGUAAACUUCUUUACUUAAAUGUACUAGCCGUAAGGUUUUGCAUUUGAGCAAAAAGUCACGACUAACUAUGUGCCAGCAGUCGCGGUAAAGACAUAGGUGGCAAACGUUAUCCGGAAUUAUUGGGCGUAAAGGAUGCGUAGAUGGUUCGAUAAGUUACUGGUGGGAAAUCGAGGCCCAACCUCGCGGAAGUUAGUAAUACUGUCGAACUUGAGUGCAGGAGAGGUUAACGGAACUUUAUGUGGAGCGGUAAAAUGCGUAGAUAUAUGAAAGAACAUCAAUAUAGCGAAAGCAGUUAACUAUUCUGCUACUGACGUUGAGGCAUGAAAGCGUGGGGAGCAAAAC